AUACGAAGGGUGCAAGCGUUAAUCGGGAUUACUGGGCGUACAGCGCGCGUAGGUGGUUUUGUAAGUUGGAGGUGAAAGCCCCGGGUUCAACCUGGGAAUUGCCUCCAAAACUGCAUGACUAGAGUACGGUAGAGGGUAGUGGAAUUUCCUGUGUAGAGGUGAAAUGCGUAGAUAUAGGAAGGAACACCAGUGGCGAAGGCGACUGCCUGGACUGAUUCUGACACAGAGGUGCGAAAGCGUGGGGCGCAAACAGGAUUAGAUCCCCUGGUAGUCCACGCCGUAAACGAUGUCAACUAGCCGUUGGGAUCCUUGAGAUCUUAGUGGCGCAGCUAACGCAUUAAGUUGACCGCCUGGGGAGUACGGCCGCAAGGUUAAAACUCAAAUGAAUUGACGGGG
rnacentral:rRNA from 1 species